GACGAACGCUGGCGGCGUGCUUAACACAUGCAAGUCUAACGGAAAGUCCCUGCUUUUGUGGGGUGCUCGAGUGGCGAACGGGUGAGUAACACGUGAGUAACCUGCCCUUGACUUUGUGAUACCUUCAGGAAACUGGGGCGAAUACCGGAUAGGAGCUCCUGAUGCGUUGUGGGGGGUGGAAAUUUUCGGCGGUUGGGGAUGGACUCGCGGCUUAUCAGCUUGUUGGUGGGGUAGUGGCUUACCAAGGCUUUGACGGGUAGCCGGCCUGAGAGGGUGACCGGCCACAUUGGGACUGAGAUACGGCACAGACUCCUACGGGAGGCAGCAGUGGGGAAUAUUGCACAAUGGGCGGAAGCCUGAUGCAGCAACGCCGCGUGCGGGAUGACGGCCUUCGGGUUGUAAACCGCUUUCGCCUGUGACGAAGCGUGAGUGACGGUAAUGGGUAAAGAAGCACCGGCUAACUACGUG
rnacentral:rRNA from 1 species